ACCACCCUUUUCUUGAGGUAGUGCUACUAAUGAAUGAGGAGUGAGGGCAGUACUGCUGCUAAUGCCUAUACAACAUGCCCACAUCAACUAGAGCUUUGCUCUACUUUGGUGCAAUUUUUGGAAAG
rnacentral:ncRNA from 1 species